rnacentral:lncRNA from 1 species
CCCAGCGCCCGCUCCCAUCGCCAUGGCAACCCGGAGCCCGAAUCCUUGUCCACGGACUUUAGGAACCUCAUUAAAUCAGGCAGCAGGACAGCAGCUGUGGGCUCAAUGUGUUCUGCUGACAGCCGGGGACUCGCUUUAUGGUGCUCAGUGGAUUAGCUGGAGACAUGACAGAGUCCACAGCCCACUUGUUUGAGAGGAAUCACCUUAAAUUUCUUGGUCUUUUGGUGUCAGAAACAUCCAAUUUACACUGUAGAGGAAACCUGUCGUCAGAUAAAGGGCAUCCAGGUGGGAAGAACCAUCUUCUGAAGUUCUUCUUGAAGUACAUGAAUGUGUGCAUGCUGAAGACUUAAACCUUA